AAUGCAGAUGAUAUACCUUGACCUACAGCAAUAACAAAUUCUAGGAGUACUCUCGACACCAUCCUUUGCAUUCUAACUAACCUCACCUAUUCCAUCCCUAUCUCAACCUAUUUCUGUGUAUGUCGUGGUAAUAGGCUUUUUCUCAACCUGUCCGCUGAGAUUGACAUGGAUUUGGCCUUCACUGGUAGCCUGGUAACAUACAUUCCCAGGUCUUUCUCUGCCUCUGUGGUGGAUAGUGGAGUGUUUCCCAUGUGGUAUUGGUGUGCUGGAUAUCCCUUCACUGGUAGCCUGGUAACAUACAUUCCCAGGUCUUUCUCUGCCUCUGUGGUGGAUAGUGGAGUGUUUCCCAUGUGGUAUUGGUGUGCUGGAUAUCCCUUCACUGGUAGCCUGGUAACAUACACUCCCAGGUUUUUCUCUGCCUCUGUGGUGGAUAGUGGAGUGUUUCCCAUGUGGUAUUGGUGUGCUGGAUAUCCCUUCACUGGUAGCCUGGUAACAUGCACUCCCAGGUCUUUCUCUGCCUCUGUGGUGGAUAGUGGAGUGUUUCCCAUGUGGUAUUGGUGUGCUGGAUAUCCCUUCACUGGUAGCCUGGUAACACACACUCCCAGGUCUUUCUCUGCCUCUGUGGUGGAUAGUGGAGUGUCUCCCAUGUGGUAUUGGUGUGCUGGAUAUCCCUUCACUGGUAGUCUGGUAACACACACUCCCAGGUCUUUCUCUGCCUCUGUGGUGGAUAGUGGAGUGUUUCCCAUGUGGUAUUGGUGUGCUGGAUAUCCCUUCACUGGUAGUCUGGUAACAUACACUCCCAGGUUUUUCUCUGCCUCUGUGGUGGAUAGUGGAGUGUUUCCCAUGUGGUAUUGGUGUGCUGGAUAUCCCUUCACUGGUAGUCUGGUAACAUACACUCCCAGGUCUUUCUCUGCCUCUGUGGUGGAUAGUGGAGUGUUUCCCAUGUGGUAUUGGUGUGCUGGAUAUCCCCUCCCAAGGUGCAGGACUUUACAUUUUUCUUCAUUGAAUUGUAGCAGCCACUUUUUGUUCCAUUCCUGUAGCUUGGUGAGGGUCUGACUGUGGGAAGUCUGCAGUCAAGGGGUCAACUGUCUCAUUCUCAAGGGCCAGGGAGACAAAGAUGGGCACUGAGGCGGUGUGCAGCUCACUAGACCCCCUAGACUUUACCUUUCUACUCCUUUCUUGAACCCUUUGUAGUAUGAGAUCAAAUACUUUAUUGAUGCAAGUGUUUAUUGAGCUUGUAACUCCAUUCUCAUUUGUGAAAUAAGAUUAGAACUUGCUUAGAAAUGGGAGUGCUGUUUUAAGUGUGUGUGUGUGUGUGUGUGUGUAGCUCUGUUCUGUCCAACUUCCUAAUGCAAGAGUUAACCAGCAUCCUCACUCUUUCAUUCCUGUGCUGUCCAGCUUCCUAAUGCAAGAGUUAACCAGCAUCCUCACUCUUUCAUCCCUGUGCUGUCCAACUUCCUAAUGCAAGAG